UUUUAUUCUUACAUCUGUAUAAAAAGAUUUCAUUUAUGAUUAUAUGAGCAAUCAUUCAAUAAUACUUCGAUGACGAUUACAAACUUGACAACGCUUGGAAAGAAGCGCCGACCAAAUUUCUUUUUUUGAUUUGGGAAUACUGAUUUCAAACUUUUUUGAGAAAUCUUUGUUACUGUUAUGAGAAUUUAUUUAAGAUUACAAUAUUUUAUAUGAAAUUGAUCUUUAGAAUCGGUUUGUCAUCAUUGUUCGAUGAUGUUAAAGGAUUAAGUAGGAUUUGCCAACGAGGAAAAAGAGAGGCCGUGCCAAGAGCGUUUAAUGACACCUUUAUGUAAGACAUCUUGUGACAUUAGUAAAAGAAAUGACUUUUAUUUUGUUUGUAAACAUACAACAAUGUACAAUAGAAGAGAAAGAUAACAUGUUGUUAAUAUAAGAAAAUAUGAAGAAUUAAACAACGAAAAUGCUGUCAACUACAAGGGAAGAAUGGUCGAAGAAGAAUGUGAGUAAAAUUCAAUAAUAAUGAAAGAAGAUAAAUUAGAUGCAUCUAGCAGUUUGGAUGAGCAUAAAUUCACAAAGUUGAAACUUUGAUCAUUUUGCAAACUCCUGACUGACUACCAAUGAUUAACCAUUUAUAAUUACGAGGAUACUUGGCACGUGAUGCAGCAUUUAUAGAUCGCGCCUCGAUUUAAUCGUUGUAGUUUCAAUUAUUUUUCUGGCUACUUGUCAUCAGAAGCGUGGAUCCGUGAAUCCAGUCGAUGCCAACAAUCGAAAAAUAGAUCCAAACGCAACCUGUUCGAAAUAGUUGGCGUAAAACCUGUAACGUUUAAUGUCAGCACAUUGAACACAUAGAUCGGUAUUGGAAUACCGACAUUAUGGUCAGCAUUUGAAUACAAAAUACGACACAAGUUAAAUGACUACUCGUGACGAACGAGUUAACGUGUUUAUUAUUUCAGAUGACUUCUAUCAAUAGAUUGAUCGAGUUUUGAACGGUAAGAUCGUACUAUUCAAUGAUUAACAGCUAAUCUCAAAGAUAUUCAACCCUCCGAUAGAAAUUGACCAUAUUAAUCGUAGUAUUUUUGACAAGAAUUUGCAGGUGGUAGAUUUCUGCGAUUCACAGGACAAAUGGAGAUCAUGCUCGAAGGUAUCUAAGCUAAAGGGAAGGAAAUCUAAUUAUAGAAGUCGUUGUACCGCGUGCUGAAAGUGGUGGAGGGUGUGAGUACGGGUGCACGAAUGAGAAUUGGUUGCAUUGGGCGACCAUAAAAUGCAGGCUGCAUCCGCUUGCCGCAGAUGUACUUGAAAUGGAGCUCCAGUACCACGACCAAAAGGAUCUCUCGUUUUGAGAUUCUGUGCCCUACCAGAUAUCGAGGACAAUGAACUUGAAGUCUACACGAUAGAAACAGAUUCCAUGGAUUCUUGUUUUACAGAAGAUCGAUCGCGAAAGGAAUAGAUGCCCUUGAAAUCAGAAGGCAGAGAUGAAAGAGAAAGGGAGAAGGAGAAAGAAGAAACGCGUGUGUCUCUUUGAGAAGGAGUUAAAGAAGAAACGGAGGAGAGGUAAACGAGAUCUGGCGGCGGCUGGUGCAGCGGAUGUUUGAAGCUGCUGAAAGUGAGGCGGUGGUUCCUUACGCGUUCUUUCUUCGUCUUUCCUGCUGCGUUUCCUUCAUCAGUUAGCCACGAUCGCGGUAAAACACGGCCCGCGGAGGAAGCACCUCGGCGGAUGUGAUGUUUAGGACAUGGCCCGGACAAAAAACUCUUUCUGUAUAAAUAGGUAACAGUGGUUGGUCUUGGCAUUGUUAUUUAAUUUUUGACCCACAUAUUUGAUUGUUUACGAAAGCGCAUAUUUCCUUCUUUUUUUCUUGCACUCUUUUUUCUUUCUUCUUUUAUAGCAAUGUUGUAUGGCUUUUGUAUAAAAAGGAUAAUUACGUGUAUCAAUGAAAAAUGAAUGUUUUGUUGUUUCGUUUCUUUUGGUUGGAUGGCAAGAAGAUAAUAGUCCUAAUGAAGCUGCAAAUGCAUUAGUAACACGAUCACUGUAAAGAACCGCAACACUUGUUGGCCUGUUUCCACUUGGGUUUCGGAAGCCAAAUCUUUUCUGACCUGCAACCUGCUGGGUCAAAAGAAUACGAUCCUCUUUGCUAGUGGUUUGAGUCAUGUUAUAGCAACAAGAAAAAACAAUGUGAUACUCGGCGCGUGAAUUAAGUCAGAUAUGCUCGACACGUGGUUGUCGAUAUUCCAGGCUCCUGCCGAGAAACACAGACCUCCCAGUGUCAUCCGACCACCAUGUGUACGCGAGUCCGAUGAAAUCCCUCUCAGGUUUUGAAAUUAUCUUCUAUUUGUCGUGGUAUUACCGAAACCGAAUGAUAUGUUAAAAAAAAAAAAAAAAAAAAAAAAAACAGAAAGAAACCGUCCGAAAGACCAACGCACGGUUACACCUCCUUGGUGUACUCGAUGGAAAUUUAAAUAGAUUCUUUCGAAGCGACAAGUGCUCUGCAUAUAUGUACUCUGUGGGAGAGUCUGAUAUCUUUUUUGUAAAAGGAUAAUAUAAAAAAUGGUGAAGGACAUCUGAGAAUUGAUAAGAAUAGAUCGACGUUGGUGGAAGUUGAAAAUUCUAAACAUUAUAUUAUAAUAAUAAAAUUAAUGUUGAUCAGUAGUUGCAAGCGGUGUAAGUCAAGCUGAAAACAACUGCUGUAGUUGUAUUUUCCUUUGCGGUUGUCACCUGCUCUUACUGCUUGACCAAUUGAUGUAAACCGACGUCUGCCACCACCAGUGUGCACCAGGCCUGUACUCAUUUUGGACGAAUAUGACACCCUUACUUUUACGAUACUUUGCAUAUGCCUCUUAAACUCGUUAUUGUUUAUCUUUGCUAAACGCUUUACGUGUUCAAAUGUAAAU